rnacentral:precursor_RNA from 13 species
UUCCGUGGUUGCCUGCACUGGGCUGUGUUCACAGGCACGGCCGGUUUGAGCAUUUUCACUGAAUUGCCAAACCAGGCGUGCCUGUGGCCACAACUCUCACCUGCGCCCGCCGAGUCU